UUUUUUUUAUCCUUUGUUUUUUUAAAUUUUUGGGAAAAAACUUCUUAAAAAGUAGAAAAAUAUUUUUUUUUUGAAUUUUGAUUUGACUUGUGGAUUUUCGAGAGAAGAUCUUUUAAGAAAACAUUUCUGAUUUCUGAGUUUCUCUUUUUUUUUCUUUUUUAAUUUACAAAAGUACUUUUAAAGAAAAGCGAAAAUAUUUUUGGACUUUUAUUUCUUAAUUUUUUAUGGACAUUUAUAAAAGAAAGACGUCUAAAGAAGAAAAGAAUAUUUUUGGAUUUUUGUUUUUGAAUUUUUUUUGGGGGAAAAUACUUCAAAAUGAAGGAAGCCCGUAUUUUGAAUUUUGAUUUUUUUUAUUUCUUUUUUCCGUGUGAAAGACUUCAGAAAGAAAGAAAACUACUUUUUUUUGAAUUUUUAAAAAACUUCCUCUUUUUUCUUUCUUUUUUUGAAUUUUCUAAGGAAAGAUUUCUAAAGAAAGAACUAAAGGAAAAUAUUUUUGGAUUUUUGAAAAUUGGGGUCGGAACCGAUGAGGUUUGCCUACGUAUCUCACAUCCGGUGAGAAUCAGACUCGCGUAGUUCUGUCAAUUUUGACGGAACAAGGGAAACAUGGCACUUGAAAAUCUUGGCUUAUUUUGAAAUGACUUUCUUUUUCUUCCUUUUUUUUCGGAAUUUCGGCAGAGUUUCAGGAUUUUCCAAAUACCUACCUCUCACUCUCUUUCUUUUUUCUUUUUUUUUUCUGAUUUUCUUUCCCUAUUCUCGAAGCCGGUCAAUAUGAAAGCCGAAACAAAAUAGAUGCGCAAGUAGCACGUAAGAUAAUUCAGAAUGGUCUUUUUAAUUUGGGUACACCUAUCCUAGACGAACCCAACCCCUAUGUUGAAUCCCUAAAGUCAGAUGCACAUGAUGCAAACAAACGUACCUACUAGGGAUCCGGCAUGAGGUUAUGUUAUUCAAGGUUUUAAAACCUAGGUGUAUUGUUCUAGACCUGGCUUACCCGAGCGGACAUCUCGAGCUGGGGGGGGGGGCAGCGUACCAGGAAUACAGAAGCUUCACCCGCUUUGCAACUUGUCCGAACUUCGUUCUAAAAUUAGGAUAUGACUCUAACAGAAAAAAAGUCACACGAAGUGCACACUUCCCAGAUGAUUUAAAAGACUUAGGGAGAAGAAGGGGUUUGUAACAGUUUAUAUACAGUUCACACAAUAUCAAAGCGCUAAAAAGUGGCAUUUAGCACAUUAGGCUUGAACACGUAAAAAUCAGAUAAUAAAUAAAACCAACUAUAACAGUUAUUCUAUGCUCGAAUUCUUGAACAGCAGAGUCGCCAGAGCUGUCACACCUCCUUUUUACCACCCGAGGGGGUAUAAAAGGAGUUUUUUCAAUUUAAGUGACAUAAAUCGAAAUGGAAUUAUUUAUUUAAUUUCAGAGUUGCCAUUUGGGAUGUUUAUUAGGAUUUCCCAAGUCACCAGUUUAUUUUAAAUCCCAAAUCGAGGAAAAUUGACUUCAUUUAAAAGUCUGUGAAACCAGAAAAACUAGGUAAAGAAUUCUGUUAACCCAAGAGAAGGUGUUAGGCAUUCUCGGGUUUCAUGGUUCUAGCACGGUCGCUUAACUAUUAAUAAUUGGCCAAAUUAUCUGAUUUGUUACACGUUUUAAAACUAUUGUGCAUUUUUAACUUUAUAACCGCUUUUAAUUUUUUUAAUCUCUUUUUAGGACUUAUGGAAUUAUUUCUUGAACAAGUUACGAUUGUCGUACACUUGCCGUUUUGGAACAUGUUGCAAAUCACGCUACAUGAAAUGCACCCACGAUUUGCGAUAUGUUUCUUUUAUUAUUGUUCGAAGUUGUUAUGAUCCGGUCACAUGAAAUGCACAUCUGGUUUGGGAUUAGGCAUCACGACCAUACCACGGUAAUCGUACCCAUAGCCAUGAUGAGUUAUUAUUAAUCACGCCUAAAGCAAGCUACGAUGUUCAUGAAUUGUUCAUUUCCUAAAUUUGGGAUUAAUGCAAGGUCUUUGCAUAUGGGUAGAUGUAGUAGUAUAAGGCUGAAAACUUAACUUUCUAAAUAUUCAACAUUUGCUCUUGUAUACAGAUGUGAGGAAACUAUGCCAUUUGAAGUGGGGAAACCUGUAUUCGUGUAACUUUGAUUCACAGGGAAGUUACAAGAUUGCUUGAUGUUUGUGAGGAACAAACCACCUUCUUCUCGUAUAUUAAUGUAAAGAAAAGAACAAACACAAACUAUUUUAAAACUACAGACACGCUUAUCUGAGUCCAGAAUUGCAACCAAAUAGACCAGCUAAAUGGGCUUUCCUGCAUCACUGUAACAAAGCCCAUUGGAGUUACUUAAGGUCGAGUCCAAAUUCUAUGGACUCUGAAAGAACACUCUAAUAACUAUGCUAUGUCUAGCAAUUGUUAAAAGAAAAUUCUUACAAAAUAAUUAAAUACAACCUUAAUAUCAAACCCAAUUAAUCAUGGCUUAGAAAAAAAAUAUCAGUGGCCAUUUUAAUUUUGACAACAAUCAAAUGCUCUCAAAAUCAACUUAUUGAUGAAGGUAACUACUAAACUAUUAGCAUUGACAAUAAACCUAAAACAACGGCCAUGUAUGCUUCAACACUAGACAUAGCUUAGCCAUCAUUCAGGCAAAACCUGUACAAUUUUGAAGCUCAUACUUAAACCAUUUAUUAUAUGAGAAUAUCUAUGAUUAGAAGUAAUAAAUAACAUGUUGGUCAAGCCAUUAAAACUGCAACUCAAACCAACUUGUUGCCAGAUCCACAGUUAUUGACCCUCAAAUCCAACAUUAGACUUUAAUUUAUCAUAAGCCAUGAAAAAAAAGACUCGAACUUCAAGAAUUAAUAUUCAAACUAGGCAACAUAUGAUUAUGUACAAUACACAUGUUAAAUUCUAGUGGAAAUAGGUGAAAUGCAAAACAUUCUAAUCGUACAUCACUGCUAAAGCACAUUCCCGCUAUAACCAAACUUCAUGUAAUUGCUAUGUCAAAACCAAACAUUCAAGUUAUGUUCAAAAAAGAACCAACAAAUAGCAGGCUUAACAAACUACAACAGAUAGUUCAUAUUUCAAUACAAAUCAAAAUAGAAUACAAGUGAUAAAUGUGUACCUAAGCUCGAAAAUGAAUCUGAGCCUUUGCCAAAUAAAGAUCAAAGAAAUCAACUACUAAAUUUGCUCACAACAGGUCAGCAGCAGAAGAUAGGAUGACAGCUUGAAUCCCAGAAUGAUGAACAGAAACAACAGCAACAAUUAGAACAGCAACAAAACCCCAGAAUUUUGACUAAAACCAACUUUAAAUGGCAGGGAUCAUGAACUAGAAAACCAUGGAGCUAUUUCUGUUUUCAGAUUCACUAGGAAAACUCAGAAAAAGGAAGAAAAAUCAGUAUGAAAAUCAAACUUUUUUCCAGAAUUCCUUAGUGUUUCAAAAAUGCCUUUUUAAAAUUGCCUAAUUCUGA
rnacentral:lncRNA from 1 species